CGGGGCCGACGGUGGCUCCGGGCUCCCCGCACCCCCCCGCUUGCUGGGGUCCCCAGUGGGCAGAGCUCGGUCUUCCCCUGACCGCUGCGUCCCGGUCCCCGAUCCGGCAACGAGUCCGGCCCGGAGCAGAAGCGGUCAUCGGAGCACCCGGAGUUGGUGGGCACCCCUCGGCUCUCGGUUGUCCACUCCUGGAUUCCCUGCCGUGCGGAUUCCCGGGGUUUGGCCCUGGCCCCCUCGGCUGCCAGCCUGCCUCUCCUCUGAAGCCGCCGUUGGCCACAACCCCCGCGGGCCACGGAGGUGGCUCUCUCUGGAGUCCGGCCUGGCCCACGUCAUUGGCCGGGAGCCUCUUCUCCCCUCUUCGGCACCGAUAAAGAAGAGGUAACCGCCGUCCCCCGGGGGUUCAAAACACCUUCCAGACUCCCCCGAUGAUUCUACCCAUUUUACAGAUGGGAGAAACGAGGCCCAGAGAUGGUCACUGAUUUCAGAGAGGUCCCUGAGAGUAUCAGGAAGAGGUGAGACCGGAACCCAGGUCUUCCGCCUCCCAGGCCAGGGCUCUUUCCUGUGAGCUCUCUUGCCUCGCACACGGCUUCUCUCUCUCUGGGGAAGAGGGUCAACCCCAGGGUCUAUCACUCCCGGGGAGUGGGAGGGUGUAGAAGCUGGAGCCUCGUGAGUGGCCGGAUUCUUUCUCCCUGACCUCCGCACCCGCUGGACCGCGGGCGGGCUCCCAAGACGGCGUCCAGCGUCAGGCCAAGAGGAAGGGAGAGCCCGGACCCCCGUCUGGGGACCCUGGCGAGCGGGGACCAGCGAGGAAGAGGAACGGGACCUGAAAAAGCCCCCUCCUCAGUCCCGGGGACGGGGGAGAAGCCGGCUUCUCCGUGGAUUCCCUGGCCGUGAGGUGGAGGACGUGGAGGACGGCUGCCCCGAGAAAGGGAGAAGAGGGCCGGGCCCUGGGCCGGCUCCACCGGCCUGGCUGCGGACACCGAAUAAAGGCACCGAUGUGGACAGAGA